UACGGAGGGUGCAAGCGUUAAUCGGAAUUACUGGGCGUAAAGCGCACGCAGGUGGCUGAGUCAGUCGAUUGUGAAAGCCCUGGGCUUAACCUGGGAAUUGCAGUCGAUACUACUCAGCUAGAGUAUGGGAGAGGGCAGUGGAAUUCCCGGUGUAGCGGUGAAAUGCGUAGAUAUCGGGAGGGACAUCAGUGGCGAAGGCGGCUGCCUGGCCCAAUACUGACACUCAGGUGCGACAGCGUGGGGAGCAAACAGG
rnacentral:rRNA from 1 species